GUCUAUGGCCACACCACCCUGAACGUGCCCAGUCUCGUCUGAUCUCGGAAGCUAAGCAGGUCUGGCCUGGUUAGGACUUGGAUGGGAGACGCCUCUGCUCAAGGGGCAGUGCGUG
rnacentral:rRNA from 1 species